AAAAGAUCUUUGUCAAGAGUCUUCACCGACUCUUUGACAAAUUUCCUGAUCUCAUCCCUCUGUGCACCUUUAGAUCAUGCUUUGGUAGGUGAUUUCACCUACCAAAAGGUUUAUUCUACCUUUUUUCUUGACUGAUUUUUAUAAAUCUUAAAUCUAAAA
rnacentral:misc_RNA from 1 species